rnacentral:tRNA from 1 species
AGACUAGCCGGGCUAUAUAUAGGCUUCUAACCUUUAUUAGGGGGUUCAACUCCUCCACAGUCUU